rnacentral:rRNA from 1 species
UACGUAGGGGGCAAGCGUUGUCCGGAUUAUUGGGCGUAAAGCGCGUGUAGGCGGCUGGGUAGGUCCGCUGUGAAAACUCGAGGCUCAACCUCGAGACGUCGGCGGAAACCAUCCAGCUAGAGUCCGGAAGAGGAGAGUGGAAUUCCUGGUGUAGCGGUGAAAUGCGCAGAUAUCAGGAAGAACACCCGUGGCGAAAGCGGCUCUCUGGGACGGUACUGACGCUGAGACGCGAAAGCGUGGGGGAGCGAACAGG